CACAAUUACCAGGAAUUCCUUGCGGAAUUUAAAUUAACGUUUGAACCAUUAGGCAGGCAGGAUGACGCCUCCACUGCCCGAAUGCAUAUCAAACAAGGGAACUGGUCUAUCUCAGAUUAUGCCAUAGUGUUUCGCACCUUGACUUCUGAGGUAGACUGGACAAACAGCAGAUUAAUCUCUGCAUUUAAGAAAGGAUUAUCUAAGACAAUUUUGGAUGAGAUUGCUGCCAAAGAACUACCAAAAAAACUAAAUGAGUUUAUUACAUUUGUCAUGCAAAUUGAUAAUAGAUUGAGAACCAUAGAAAAUACAAAUACCAGAAAU